GAGACUCUUAUUUUGAGCUAAAACAAAAUGAAAACAAACGUGCCACAAGUGCCUUUCGGUGGUUUUAAAAUCUUCCCAAUUGAAAUGUGCGAAUUCGCUUGGCUAUUGUCGAGCGUUUGAGUGUACGGCUCUCAACGCCUGGUACUUGUCUCGACGUUCCGCGCCUGUAUCCGCGACCGCUUGAGAUUGUGAGACGCUGUCGCCGACGUUCUCCCAUCCCAGGGUGGAUAACAAGUGGAAUACACUUCCAAGCAAUGUGCCAGGAUGCACGAGCUGCUGGCACAAGUUUUGGAGAACCGAGACCUGUCACGGGCAGGUGACCUGUUCUCGGUGGAGGACCAAAAGAUUGUGGGCGACCUGUCGGAGGUGCUGACCAAAAUCCGUGACAUUGCCAGCGGCUCGGACUUCCUUCACAGUGACAAUAUCCAAAGUGUGGUUGAGAUCUGCAUCACCAGGGUCACAUCUGCCAUCCGGGACACUGGGACCAUAGAGCAACAUGCACAUGCUCUGGUGGCUUUGUUGGAGUCCUGCCUAAACCAUGAUCUGCGUCCCUCAUCAAAAGAUGAGGAUCCACCACACGCUAAGAUUGCUUCCGACAUUGUCAGCUGCAUUUUUCUGAAUCACAACAAGAAGUCAGUAAUGAAGCUGGCACUCCCUGUUGCAAUCAAGUUUCUGCACCGAGGCAACAAAGAACUGAGUCACAACCUUUCCCGCUAUCUCUCACUUGCUGCUGUCAACAACGCUGAGCUGCUGUCCCCGCACGUGCAGCCCAUUGUGGACAGCGUUAUCAGUGGCAACUAUGCCCUUGCCCGAGUGCUGCCCUCCAUUUACGUUGUGAAGAAGGAGCCCAUCCAUGACCACCUGAUGGCGCUCAUUUCGCUGCUGCCCCUUUGCGAGAGCUCUGACAAGCUCAACUUGCUUGCCCUCUUUGAGCUGGUGGCCAAGCACAAGCCCUCUCUCCUCGAGAGCAAUGUGCCCCAGCUGAGCAGUUGCCUAGGCAGUCCAACCACGACGGGCUCUGUGCUGAAGAUCUUCCAGGAGCUGGCAGCGGCCAAGCCCCAGCUGUUUGCCGAGUACUUGCCCAAGAUGAAGGCAGUGGCCCUUGCUCAACCAGUCCACCUCACAUUGGUGGCGCACAUCAUGGCUACUGUGGGACGGCUGAGUGCGGAGCGUGCCCAGGAGUGCUUGGAGUUUCUGGUUAGCCAGCUGUCCAAAGGGGACCACAACACACAGCUGGCACUCCUGCGGGAAGCCAAGCACCUAGGAGAUGCCUUCCCUGCAUUGCUUGCCCCUUGCUUGCCGCAGAUCUGCAGUCAGCUACCAGAGCCAGUGGCCUCAUCCACAAUUCGCUUUUACCUGCACCAGCUGAAGGCAGAUGCCGCCACAGCAGCCCACAGAGCACAGGUGGUGAACCGGACAGGAGGUGUCACGAUCGUCAAAGUUGGUGGCAGCAGACACGAUCUUUCAUCCAACCGGGGUGCCACCAUGCCGGCUGUGGCGGCAGGGCGUGCCCCAUUGGGCAAUGCUGCUGGUCAGGCUUCGAGGGCAGCUGGCAUGUUGGGUACUUCAUCACAGGAGGCUAGUGCGCGUUCCCUGGGCCACCUGGGUUCGGGCCAGCUUGCCCACCGGAGCAUGACCCGCUUGCCCUCGGCAAAUCACAUGCACCAUGCAGCUCCCCAUGCACAGAGCAACAGCCGGCUGAGCUCUCCAUGUGGCCUGCAUAUGAGCAUGUCGAAGCUGAGCUCCAACUCACCCGUCAACCGGAGCCUCUCUGCACUCAACAGUCGGCACAACCUAAGCUCAGUCCCGGCCCCAGCAGCGCACACGAGUCGUGUGUCCAGCUGUGGUGUCACUGUCACAACCACCUCGGCCCACAAGAGCAUGAGCAUUCCAACACUGAUAGAAGAAGCGCAACCAUCGCCAGUGAUAGGUCGUCAUCCUGUCCUGACUGUGUCCAUAACCAGCAAUGUGGCAAGGCGGGGGCCAGCAGAUCUGGGAGGUGGGGCGCUUGAGGGAGGCUCCUCUCCAAAGGGGGCGGUUCCUAGUCCUUCCCCACCCCCGCUGGGCCCCACCCCCUCGUGCUCCUCCUCGUCUGCCACACCGCCCCCCUACGCAGAAGGGGGAACGUCGUCUUCCUCACGCCUCGGCGCACCUCACAGCGGCUCACUCAGCUCGGGCUGCAACCAACAGCAUUUGAAGGGCAGCGGUGGAGGCACAAGCUCGGCUACUGAGGAUGAAACUGUGCCAGUGGUGCCACGCAAGGUAGUUCAAUCUAAUGCACAGAGGAUAUCUGUGUUUGAGCCAUACCCAAUGCGAGAUGCAGUGCAGCACUUUUGUGAGAAACAUCUAGACAAGAUCAAAGCAUACAUGCAGACCAUUUUCGUCAAGCUCCCACUGCCAUCUAAGUGCACCAUCGAAGAAAGGCGUGCCAAGAAACAUGCCAUUCUUCAGUUCGCCUGCCAGGGGAAAGGGGAGCACUGCCUGUACAACAAGAGCCUGUUUGUCAUGAAAACCAAGAAUCCACGCAUAUGGAUCCACCUCAUGUUUCUUGCACUGCAGGCCCGUUCCACAAGUGCCCUGAGUACACGUGAGUCAUCUGUGAGCAGCCUGAAAAAUUGCUGGGACACACUGAAGUAUGAUAACAAGUCAUUCCUAGCCUUGGUGACCUCAUCAUUCCCGUCUGCAAAGGACCAGGACAACCUGAUAGCUGAGCUGCGUAGUGAGCGCUUUUUUGAUGUGUUCGAGUACAAUGGGCCACUGACCCUGUGGGGCUGCUUCCUGUGCAACCACCCUGACCGAGCCCAAGGUUUUCUCCAGGAAGGCGGCGAGCCCGUCAUUGAGGGGCAACUGAAAGAGAAGAAGAGAAAAUGGAAGUUAUUUCGACACUGGAGAACGCGCUACUUCACACUUUCGGGUGCACACUUGUCCUACAGGGGACUGAAGGAUGACAAGGAAGUGCAGCCCAUUGAGGUGAGCCAGAUCAGAAGUGUGCGCCCCAUUGGGAGCCGGGGUCGCAACAUCCCCAAGGCCUUUGAGAUCUUCACUUCGGACAAGACCUUCGUGCUGAAGGCCAAGGACAGCAAAAAUACCGAGCAGUGGGUACAGUGCUUGUCCAUUGCCUUGGCUCGGUCACAUGCUAAGGAGGUUGCUCACUGACAUAGGGAGUCCCACGUUUUUUUGUUUUUUUUUCCCCAUGAGGCUUGAAAUUUGAUCCCGAUACAAAGCCAAGCAUUGGGGAAAACAACAUCUCAGAGUAUGAGACAAGGCAUGAGCUACCAUUAUUUGCCUCAUUCGAUAUUGCAGUGCUGUUUUUCACAAUGCAGAAUUGCCAACUCGCCCUAGGAGCUUUCUGUUUGCGGGAAAAGCCGUGUGUUCUACAGAAAGCAUUGCUUGUCUUCCAUCAACUUGACAUUCUUGUCAUGCAAAACUAUAUAUAUAUAUAUUGUGCAAGUUUGAAGAUGAGAUAGUAUUUUCAAGGUUACAAAGCUUCUGCAAGCAAGAUGCAGUUGAUGUGUUUAUAUAGUAUAUCUGAACACCAGUGUGCCUCUUCAUAUGACGUUUACAGUUAAUUGUAGCAGGCAUCAUUUUGCAAGCACUGUGCAAUUGUUGGUCCCAGCUUUCCGGUUGUACACAUCAAUGAUGAGAACUUACAUCAGCCAUUCAACUCUUGAACCAUUCCUUUAAAAAAUUGUACUGAAUAUCCACAUACUCUGUUGUGAUUUCAAAAAGCUACAUAUGCAAGGUCGUUGGAAGUGCAUGAGAGUUUGAAGCUGGGCUAUACUCUAUUUAUUAAUUAGUGUGCAAUGCUGUGGAAGCUAUGGAAUACGUUUAAUAAUCAAAAUGUAUAACUCCGCACAUUUCUGGGUCAAGCUUCAUGGUCGCAUGUGUUUGCACAAGCCCAGCGCGAGCCUGUGUAUGAGGUACUGCGACAGGGCGCAAAUGAAAAACCCAAAGAGAAAAACAACAAAGCGUAAAUUGAUUUAAAACACCUCAUUAGCAGCCACAUAAUGCAGUUUGUUAAUUUUGAAGCUAUAAUUUUUUUCUUUUCAUUUAUUACUGAGCCUAAAUAAAGAGCAAUCACACGUAAUUGCUGGUAAAAAACACCAAACUAUUUCUUGGUGCAAACGCAGCUACAGCAAGAAGUCUUGCUAGCCUCCACAGCAUUGCAUGCCAUGUAUGAAAUGAAGUCUAGUUUGUUUUCAAUCAAUGGGGGUGGCAUCAAGUGCAGGUAUCCUGUUUGUAUAACUGGUCUGUGCUGUUAGCCAUGUUGAAUCUUCUUGCCAUUGAAAGCUUAUUUUUCAGACAUAUCCACAAACAGUCUGCUUUGUGUGCAUGCUUAUUUCAACCACCUAGCGUUUUGUUUUUCAUUAAUGAGCAUACACUCAGUGUUGAGCUGUCUUAGUUCAUUUGCAUUGUUGCACCAAGAGAGUUCUUCCAUCUAUAGCAUCAUUAAAGGCAGGAAUAGGCAUGACUAGCAACACAAGAGGUGCCUACCUAUGCUGACAGUGCAAGGUUUAUUCCAUGUUGCAGUAGGGCGGUACUUUGUCUUGGUAAGGAGUUUUAAUUGCCAGGACGCUAUGUGCCCCUGACUGCAAAGGUUUUUUGAGCAUGUGCCACACUGAGUCGCAAAUUGGUUUGAAAAUUUUUCUUCUAUGUUCCAAAAGCAUUUGUAGUUGGCUUUAAAUGUGUAAAUGUUUUUGCUCCGUCCAACUUGCAUUGCACGUAAGGAGUAGAAGUGGUUGUGGAAUUUGAAGUCCCGCCUACACGUACAUUUGCUGGCCUGUGCAAGCUCACAUCUACAAGCCUCAGCACAUCCAUGAGGAGCGUGCAUCAGCUCGUGCGUGUCAGAGCAUGUGCAGGCAAAGAAUCCGCACCAAAAGAUGUAGGCACUUGUGCUGGCUUGUGUUGCCAUUCGUCUGGAGCGAUGUGAUGGACAGAGAUUAAUCAGAGGACAUGGUUGUCUGAAUGGUGUCUCGACCACUGUGGUCUUGCCGAUGAGAGGGCCCAUCAUGACAGCCAUGGAAUCUAUGCAGCCACAGCGGGAUACAGACCGGCUUUCUCCUGCACCAGCUCAAGUUAUGUCAUGUGAGGAAGCGCUUCCUCCUUUUUUUCUGCACUGAUCUUGCUACUCAAGAAAACAUUUUUUUUACGGAUUUGUUAAGCAUCUAGAAGCAUUACAGCAUUACAGUAAAACCUCGCUAAUUCGAUCUUUGUUAAUUUAGAAAAUUGAAUAAUUUGGACUUGUCCUCUGGUCCUGGUAGGCAUGUGCAUUAUUUAAUGGAAUCAAACUCAUUAAUUCGGCCAUAUUUGGCUGCACACCGGUUAAAUUGGACAGCUCUCGAAGCUCGGCGAGUGCGAAGCACCGCAAUAAAGUAAAAGCGUCGCUAGCAUCCAACAAAGCAACGGAGUCUGCAUUGCCGUAGUGAUCAGUAGAAAUCGUACGUGAAUGACAGGAACACUGGAAUGCUUCGUGACUAGUUGUGCCUUUAUAGCCUUUUGUUCUUAAAUUUAUUGCAGCGCAUAACACCAAGGUGGCCGCGUGUUUUCAUAACUACGUAGUAGCCAUCCAUGAUCGUGUCAAUAGCAACCAUGGUUUCGUCCUCAGUGGUUACGGCAAACAGUUUAAUUUUUACUUGGUGUGUGCGUAGGCCGCGUGCCUUCAAACCUGUGUGGUCACCGUCCAUGAUUGCGUCAGCAGCGGCCCUAAUGUUUACCGCAGAGGUUGUAGUAAACAGUAGUUUCGUUUUGACUAAGUGCAAUGGUUGUGCAUGCAAUGUCACAUACACGGCGGAAGCAGUCGAGGUUGAAGAAUGCCAGCUACAUUGUGAUGGAUGGACAACCUGUUGGCGAUCAGCUCACUGGCGAAAAAAUAAUCGGGAUGUGCGGGCGGCAGUGAAAAGUGUGUCUCGAAUAAAGACGCUGGCCGCGGCCACGCUGUAAAGGAACUUGUGAAGCCUUCGCCGCUGCGAGCGCUAAUCAGCCACGAGAUGACAAGAAUUGCAGCUUCCACACUGCUUUCGUGCAAAAAAGGAACAUGUUUUACAGAUUCAUUCAGUAAAUAAAUGUAUGUUGACAUAAUAAGCAUCUCCUUAUUGGUAUCUUGAUACCCUCGAUAAUUCUACACUGGGUAAUUUGAACAUUUUUCUUGGUCUCGUGAAAUCAGAAUUAAUGAGGUUCUACUGUAUAAAUUAAGCUCACUAAAAGGUAGCGUCAUGCCUAGCACAUAUCCUUUGCAGAUGCUGAUUGCCAUUCCUUGCAAGGUGUGGCAGGCACAUAAACAUGUAGGAGUGCACUGACGUGCACUGGCAAGCAUACAUGUAGUCUGGGCUUAAGGGGGCCCUGAAACACUUUUUGAGCAUUGUAAGAAAAUGUUGUCGAUCUGUUAACAAGGCUCCUGUGAACAUGUGAGCCAAAUAUUAUUGCACUGCAUGCAGCAGGAAAUUUACAAUCUCGUGUCAAAAGCAAGUAAGCAUCACUUGCUCUCGCUUCCGCAAUGUCGUCGUGCAGCGUCAUCGCAGGCAGCUGGAACCACAACAGCUAUUGGCUGAUUUCAUGAUUGUAAGGACAUUUUUAGUAAUACAGUUACGGCUCAUUUCAGUUAAAUAAAUGAAAAAUGUAUAUGUCUGCGAUUUGAAAAAGACACAGAAACCAUUUUUGCACUGCCAGUCCAAAAACAGCAGUUGGGCGUGGCUGCGUUUGGUGCACGUGGCUUCCGAGAUGAAAAAGCACAGUGUAGAUACCGUGGCCUGCAGGGGGUGCCGCCAUGAGCCGUCUUGCGUUCAACCUUUCGGAAUCGGCCAGCGGGGCAUUGCUCCCUCGCGCCCCCUUGCCGUCUCCCAUGUGUAGUUUCCAGCACGCUUGUGGAAAUGAAAGGAGAGAGAAAGCCGCUGAUCAGUCCAGUAGCUGCAUCUAAUCUCUUGUACUUGGAAGAAAUCAAAAAAAUUUUGCGGCAAGAGAUUUGUGAGGCGACUUAACUUAAUAGUGAUGCAUGAAUGUUUCAGUGUUUCAGUAAGUGUUUCAGGGCCCGUUUAAGGAUUUUUUAGAAAGAGAUGUGUCUUAUGCCAUUGGUCAGAAAGAAGCCUGGCUGUGCUCAUCUCGGAAAAACACGUGUCAUAUUUUUAGGACCAGUGUGUACAUUUAAAAUGGUAAGGUUAAUGCUGCACCCUAGUUUUUAUUUUUCCUACUUGCUGGCAAGUAAGUUGGUGUGCUAUUUUUAUUGUAUAAGAGAUAGUUAAGGUUACUGUCACUCAGUGCCUUUCCACUGCCCUUUUAUUGGUGUUUAUUACCACAACAUGUGUAUUUCGUGUCAGAUUUAAAAAAAGUACCACUCUCAUGAACACACAUCAAGGCACACUUUAACAGCAAAAAAGAGUUGAUCCCACAUAACAUGCAACUGUUGAAACUCAUUUUCUAAGCACUGCCUAGUUAGUCCAAAACUGUUCACUUUUACAUAUUAUUUCUUUCCGAUUUCAAAAAGCAAUGUUGCUUUCUUUUUCAUUGUAUAUUUACAAUUACACCAUGUUCCCACAAUGUUUAUACACUGCUUUCUGUAUCAAUCUAAUUCCUUUUCUCUAUGGAAGAGUGUAUUGGUUACAAGUCUGUAAGGUCUAAACAUGGGAGUUUCACUUCUAUUAUAACACUCUCGCCUUUCUCUGUUAAAAGGACACUAAAGGGAAAUACUAAGCCCGCUAAAGUAAUAGAUUAGUACUCAAAAAUGUCUAAGGGGUCAAUAUUAUUGAGAACAGAGCCUUAGUAACUGAGAAAUUGAGGUAAAUAUACGAUGUGAUUUGUGACCCUUAACGGUCGCACAUUGUAGUACUAGCCUAAUGAUGUAGCAACUCCUCAUUAUAAUUCUGUCACUAGUGCUUAACCGCUGAUAAUAAAAAAAAUAUUGCAUUGCAUUAUAAGAUGGAAGAAAAUGCCACUUGUCCAGUUAUAUUUGAUUCUUAUAAAACUCAUUGACAUUACCCUUGACACGAUGCGGCAGAUGGUCAAAAGGUUCAGUUUUUGCUCGACUGUGCUCUCUUGUAUUCAUAUUUUCUGUACCGCGUAGUGCUGCUGUUGUUUUGCUGUCUCCCGAAGCUCGCAUGAAAGAGUCAACCAUGUGCACAUGAUAUUCAAGCGGCAGCAGCACAAGGGAAGCAUCCUGUAGCAUCGUAUCUCACUAGGAAACUAUAUAUAUGUUUAUAAAAUCAAAAACACUGCGUAGAAUGGCACAAUAAAGUGAGACAAACACUGGCGCAACAUCACUAAAAAAAGUAGCGACAAACUUUCAUUGUUGUCUGAAUAAAUACAAUCGUACGCCCAUGAAAAAUAUCUAAUGCUCCGCGAGGCCAACAUUGUAACCAAAGGAUACUAGAUCUAGUUUUAACAUGCCGUCAUUGCCAGUAAAAAUGCAUUCCAUGCCACCAGUGGUAAAUGCUGUGGUGCCAUCUGAUCACUAGAAGUCAGAACACUUUCAUGACUCCAUGGCCUACGAGAUAGUGUGCGCACACGCAAUAUCGGAUACUUUGCACUCAGUGUGAAAUGAGACAAAGCGAAGACUGAUUUUACUAUUUAUUUCUUGCUGUCACGGAUGAAAGCAAGUAAAGAGAGUGAAUUUGGUUAAAAGCGGGCGCAUUGGUUGCUGUCAUAUUCUUACACAAUUGCACGAUAACGGGCGGGCUGUUGCGCGGAAUUCAGGGAAACAAGCAAAAUUUUUGGAAGCAGCAGAAAAUGCCAUGUCCAUGUGAUGUCUUAGGAUGCUGUCGUUCGUGUCUUUACUCGGUUUCUAGCCCUGCUGUUGCAUAUUAUGGAGGAAAAAAAAAAAAAAAAACGCAGUGCCGGCUGUCGAAUGGCGUUUUACUCACCGAUGGCAGUAAAAGGCGGUGAUGGCGUGUUUCAGUGUCAGACCUCCUAUUUCAUGGCAGGUGAUUUGAAUGGCUCUAAAGGAGUGCUGGCAUUUCAGACUGGAUUUUCUCUUAAACUAAGCAUUUUCUUGGCACAAAACAUGCACUGCGUGAUUUCUGGAAUGGUAUUUCAACAGUCCACGUUGACGUACUAUUUGCUUUUAGUGUUCCUUUAAUUGUAUGGCCCACUCAACUGCCUAGUGCUUUAAGAAAUGGGAACCCAUAUUUAUAUACAAGCUUGCCACCCUGCAAGUCAUUUCAAAAUGUAUUAGUCUUCACAUCUUCAUUUAAGUUUCAAGAAGCUUUGCUGUUUGAUCCUUGAUGUGCAGUUGGAUAGCUCUUAGAGGAGGCCUUUAACAGGUGUUAACACGUUGAAUGAAUUAGCGCAGUCUAUAGAACUUGUGGGUUGUAAAUGUACUUGCCUAAUCUUGCAGUACUAGCUAUUUUGCUAUACGCGAUACCUAAUUUCUAUUUUUUUUGUGUGGCUGCGGCUUAUAUAUGGAAGAAUAUGUAUAUUAGUUGUUGUGAAUUCUUAGCAAACAUUGAAUACUGAAAUCAAGCUAUAGCUAAUAUAAAAUAGCAUAAUAUUUGACCAAAUAUUCAAAAAUAUUGAAUAUUCGCUUAAGCCUAGUAUUUCGAUCAUUGGCAUGCUCUCGAUGCAUUCGACAAAAGUAGUCAAUGCAUGCACCAUAUCUCCAUCCUAUGACAUUGUGAACAAAAGUCUACUGUGCUCCAACAGGCGAAUGAUUGCAGGUUUCUUUAGAGCAGUCGUUUCACGGCACUUCAUUCACUUUAUUACCACCCUCAUCAACGCCGGGAUGGAGGGUGGAGUUGGUGUCAUUUGUAGCUGCCUGACAAUUCUGAGUGAGAAAAAUUCAUAACAGCAGUCAGUGAAGUCACCUGACACCGUGUUGCUAUUUAACUCGUAAAGGAACAAGCGCUGUGCAUGCAGAACAGGCACAAUAAAUUGCCAAUGCAGACCUUAUUUCAGAACUAACUUCAAAACUUAUUGGCAUCACUUGACUUAGUUUCUCCUGAGGUUUUGGUGUGGCCGGCAACUACUGGCUUCAUUACUUUCAGUUUCAAAGGGGCACAGGUAACAUAUCAAAACAAACACUUUGAUCGAUUUGCUCUUCUGACUGACGAAAUUAGCAAGCAGUUGUGCAGCCGGAGUCCGAAUUAUAGAAUGGUGUACUGUAAGUAGCCCAAAAGUUUGCUCGUCUUUAUAUGUUAUGUCUAUAAAGGUGAAUUGUGGUGCCACGAAGCUGACCGAAUAAUCGAGCAUGUACGAAAUAUCAGUGUCUAAAUAAUUGGGUAGCAAUGUGCAUAUAUAGAGAGGUAAAAUCGACAAACACAAGUAGCUGCAACUUUUCUUGCGCUGAUGUAAUUUUAUCUGUCUGCAACCGGCAAACGCUCUUCACGUCUGCUGCUUUUGUUAUUGGUGAAGGAAGCAUUGCAGCUAGCAAACGUCACAUGGAGACAUUUCUGCUUCUUGAUAAGUUGUGCUUGUACCUUGCAUAGGUUGCAUGCAUUUUACACUCACUUGUUUCACAUGAGAAGUGCUUGUGGGAAGAAACACAUAUUGUGGCAACUUACAUUCACUAGAAAUCAAGAAGGAUAUUCGCAUUGCACUUUGGUGUAGGCGCUCAUGUGGACUGGCAUUUCUCAGCUCACCUUCAUAGGCCAAAAACCGCAGUUGUGUUAGGUAAGAGUAAAGGUACAAGAAUUUAUGGUGCUAGGACAAAAGUCAACAAGCGCUGUUUGCACUGUGUCCAAGAUGAAGUUACGCCAACUUACCUAUUUGUUUUGGUCUGUAAACCAAACAUCAGCCUGGCUAGUCCUCGUAGUGAAAAAAAAAAAUAACAAAAAAUGGCACCUUGAGGGCUGAGAGUGAAACUGUUGAUUGUAGGGUCGACUGUAACUAUCAGUAUAAAAAACUUUUUUGUGUUCUAAGUGGUUUAAGGAAUUAGUGAUUGUUCAUGCAUUCCAAGAUGGGAUUUCUUUUUUUCUCAAAAGAUUGCUUUGCAGCGUAAAACGUAUGAAGCGUGCUAUAUGUACAUCAAACAUUAUUUUUGCUGUAGCUUAUGCUCAUGCCUAUGCACACACCAAAUUUUCAUUGUGCUGAAGCAUGUUUGAGCAGAAUCCAAGGUGAACUUACAUUAUCAUUGUUCUUACUAGCUGCUUCAGAAUUUGGCAUUAGCCUUCUACCAUUCACUUCCAUUAAUUCAACCCUGAUGGGGCCAACGGACAUUUAUCGGACAAUUAUCGGGCAGGUCGAAUGAAAUGAGAUGCAGAAAAAACGUCACAACACACUGCUGAUUUAUUUGGCAUAAUUUUCCCAAUUCUAACAUGCGCCAAUUUUCUAUGGGUACAAAGUAGAAAAACAAUUUAGAAAUGACAUUAAAGCUCCUAAACAAAGUUUUCAAAUGCGCACCUGAUUUUUUAGCAAGAAAAAUGGGCAAGGAUCUAAUAUGUGUUGGAACAAUGGCAGCCAGUUUCCUAAAAUCAACUUUGCCACACGGUUUAUUAAAGUCAGCUUCGCCGCUAUUAAUCCGUAUUAUGCGGUAAAGCAUACAAACACCGCAACGCCGAGUUUGGUUUCGUAUCCGCCUGCACUGUGCAGGCAAUUUCUGGCCCAAUAUUUUUUUUUUUAAACAGGGCGCAUGUUAGAAUAGGGUAAAACAGUAAUCAGACAUUGAGAGGUACUGUUAUUGCUUGAAGAUAUUCCCAGGGAACACUGAAAAUAGGCAUUUUGGACGGGAGAUGAUGCGUGUUCAACGCACUGACUGUCCCCUAAGAUCUGCCGAGAUAGACGCUGCUACUAAAGGAGUCGCUAUUGGGGGUCACCCUAGGGGCCAAGUGCAUGGAUGCAGACUGGUCAAGAUCGAAUUAUCUGUCGAAGGCCAAUUUUAGGAUCGAAUAAUGAAAGUUUGGGCCCAUAGAAAUGCAUGGGCACGCCAGCUGGGACCUUCGAUCGUGAUCGAAUUAACUGAAAAAUCUAAUUAGCUGGAAAUUUUGUUACAGCCAGGCGUUCAUAAAUCAACUACAUCCAUAAGCUCGAAGCAAUCCACAAUGACGUGAAAAUCAAAUAUUUUUUUACGCUGUACACUCGCCGGCAAGAAUUUUCACGCUUCCAGAGGAAUACAUGUGUGUCCCUUGCAAUCGGCGCUCUGUGUCAGUCUUGUCGAAAUUACCUGCGCCGAUUAGAAAUUUUUAAUCUCCAUAGAGCCUGGCAUCCUUGUUUUUAAGGGCAAGGCCGGCAGACAGCCUCUACAAGCUAUUAAAAACAUAAGUAACGUUUUAAAGCCACAAAAUUUGCGAUAAUAGCCAACCUUUUACAGCACAGCGAAAGCUUGCAUUGCGCGUCUUUGAGCCCAUAAAGCUCCUGUCGCCCCCUGGCGACCGCCGUAUAAACUCGAGAGGUGCCGCGACGCGCUUGCGGCGCUCGUUUGGCUACCUCUCCUAUGCCCCGCGCCUCGGCGGUGGAGGGUACAGGAGAAGGAAAGGGAGGAGGAGGAGUACGGGCGAGGAGAAAUAGGUUACGCCAGCGAGGAAUUUACCGCUGUGAACCUCGCAUUCUAUCAUAGUAAUGAUGUUACUAGAGAAAAGUACAAUUAUUUCUGCCAAAAGAAGCCACACAGACAUUAGUGUUUCAGGUGUUCAUUUUUACAAGAUAAUAUUGUCAUCUAAAAGGGAGUAUAAAAGCAACUGUCCUAAUUGCUUACCCCUGUAACUUAGCAGAUAUGAUGUGAACGAUCCUCUCUCAGUCAUCAUAAAAGCCGUCUUUAUGUUUACGGUUUGAUGCCAUUAAUAGCUUGCCAAUAUUAACUCCUUUAUAUAGCAACACAACAGACUAUGAUGUUUAUUUUGCCUCGUGUCACUUCUGCAGGUUACUUGCAUUUUGUUAGCACUAAAGCUGUGUCCUUCUUUCUUUUCACUAUUUUACAUACCGUAAACCUUACUAUUUCAGUUCUUACUAUUUUGAUUACAGGCAGACUUUAUUGACUUUGAGUGGCCACUUUGCUCUCCAAGCAGUGCAGGUACAGUCGAACCUCAUUAUGACGAAGUCGCAUUUGACCCAAAAAAAGUUUUGUGAUAUAGCUUUGUUAAAAUAGCUUCACUAAACAGAUUCGUUAUAAACAUACAUCUGUUACAUUGUAAUAGUGGCGAGACAAUUUUUAAUUUAAUUUGGUAUAUCUUACGAUUUGUUAUAGCUGUGUUCAUUGUAUCGAGGUUCGACUUACUGCUACACCACAGAAGAAUGCCACCACCCUGCAUACUUUCAAUUUUUGUAGCACCACACAUUUUCAUUUCCUUUGAAUGGUGCUGUGUGUGUGUACAUGUUGAAUUUGUUAUGUCUGACAGAUGCACAGCAUGAUGCCAGUGUCAUCUCUGUUGCAAGAUAUGCUUUGUGCUGUGUGCAAGUAAUUCAUGGAAUGUUGUAUCUAGCGACGUAUAGCUAAGGCCACCGUACAUCGUGAGUCCUGACUGCAUAAAUGUUACUCAGUAGUGCCUUAAAAUAUUCUCCUGUAGCCCUUCAUCUGUCUUAGGGUUUCUUUAUUUUAUGUGUGCUGUGUUGCAUGUUCAGCAUAGCAUCUGCAAUGCCAUGAAAACAAACCUACCUCGUCAUUCCUGCUGUCGAAGUGAAAUGGUUUUUGUUUAUUUGUAGUUUUUCUUUUGUAUUGCUUAUCAGCAGAAUACCAGUUGUUUUUUGCUUCAUGAAUAUGACAACUUGUACUCACUCUGGUGACAAAAAAAAAAAAAAAAUGCAUGCAAGUUCCAUUACCAACUUGGAGCUUAUGGUAUGUAUUGCUUUGAACCUGUAUCUCUUAGCUAUGUAGUACUACUAUAUUUUUCUUGCUUAGGUGCCUCUGAUGGGUGGUGCCAGUGGCUAGUUCUUUAUGCCUUGAGAAUACAUCAUGCGUGUUUUGUUGUAUUUGUGUAUACAAGGAUGAAAACACAGAGAAAUAAGCUGAAGGCUGAUCAGUGCAACAAAUGCAUUAAUUUUCACUCACAACCCUGGAACAGAGAGGUAUAGCCCUUAUCCAUGCAUCCUAGGUCAUCUUCCUUUGUGUGCUAUCAAUGCACUUAAAGGUACAUUGACAAAACAUUAGUUCUAGCUUAAUUUGUAGGCUGUAUUUCAGAGGUAGCACAUAGAUUGACCCAACUCGGAGCAGAGGUUUGGUUUGUGGAAAAUUAUGUUAGAGCAAAAGAUGGGUGGUAAUACUACCUUCAUGCUCCAAAGGACUUCCCAAGGUGCCAUUGUCUGUGGAAGCCUGUGACACCUUGGGAGGUCUUUCAUGAAGCUAGAUUAUUUUCAAAAAUUCAAUUUCAUUGCAUCAACAUGUAGAACAAAUUUCAACCUGGCAUCCUUUGCAGUCUUCUCCUGUAUAGAAAGCAUACAAACUUCCCCGGCCAUGAAAUCUUGGGCAUGAUGCAAGGAAAUCAUUGCUGCCAUUAUUAUUUUUUUUUUUACAAAGAAACUAAGAAAAAGAAAUUCAGCCUCCAAUCAAGAUUAUCUUAAUCAUUCAUUACUUCUUUUUUGCGCCAAAUGUUUGUAGACAGAAUUGCAAAAGAGCAAUGCACUUGGCCUAGCCUGACUCGGCACUUUGCUUUGUGGCCCCUUUAAUGUAUUGCGCUGUGUCUCCAUUAACUUGUGCACCUUGCCUUAUAUGAGCUGUCAGGCCAUUGCAAAUAGAAUUUUGGUUUUCACUGUGUUGUUCAAGCAGCUUUCAGCAGCACUUUCAUUAUAAAUACAAAGACAGAUUGCACCAUACUUUUCUCUGCUAGGCGUUUGUGUCCAUUGGUCAAUUGGAUAUUUGCUUCUAAUGUAAAUGCACAGCCUUCUGAAACUUGGGAGCUGUGCUGUAUGAAGUUAUAGUAGUUCAUGAAUUACUGCCUUCUCUUUGCUCUCAGUUUCCCCAUAGCAUUUAUAUUAAGGGAGACUUCCUUCUGGCUCUCCCAGUGUUAAUGGGAGAGAACAGACAGUUCACCAAUUUUACUGCCACUGCACUGGUUAACAGAAUCCAGGUCCUUUUAGCACUGUAGUAAACGACUUUGUGUUCUUGAAACUUGCUUGUUUCAGAGCUCAAAUUGUCCUGACAUGAGCCAAGAAUAGGUUGAACUGGAAGUGUGUAGCUCUGGUAGUUCCAUUGUUUCUAAUCUAUAUAUUUGAGAAGGUGCUUUUGAGUGAACUGUGCCACUCACAUGAUGCGUUUAAAAGCUCGCUGCACAACUGUGACCACUUUUAUUUAAAAUAUUUGCUAAUAUACUGAACACACACUUACAUUUAUGAUGUAAAAUGUUUCCGUACAAAGUAUUUUGUGGUUCCUAUUUAUUAUUUUAAUUGAACAAUUCUUGUGUCUAAUGCUGUGUCUAUUACUUUUAUUCCCUGUGCCCAGCUUUCAUGAGCCACUUUGUUUUGACAUGUUCCUUUGCCUUUUGACUGCACUGGUAGGUAUUGUAACUGUACAUUUUUUCUGCCUGAAUGCUGUAGGUAAGUUGUGCAUCUUUAUAUCGCCCUCAGCCUUCACCAUAGCCAACAUAAUUGAUGUAAAUGUGGAACUGCUGUUGAAGAACUCGUAUAGGAAGCAUGAAGUGGCAUCUGUACUGGAGCAACUUGAAAUGUGUUCAUUGACCAAUAAGUAGUUUCUGAGGAGAUCUCUUCUGUGCACCUGUCAUGAGAGCAACAUUAUAAAGCAGCACUGCUUUAUUUUAUUACUGUGAGAUCUGCCAAACCUCACUAAAAGCUAAUAAGUAUGCAUUGUGAGGGUUCACCUUAUCAGUAAGCUCUGCAAAGACAUGCUGUUAUUCCUUCUUGCAGUCUACUUGCCUCCCUUUUCUUUUUCUGUUUUCCAUGGUGAAUAAGAUGUAAAAAUGCUGCUGUAGUUAUAUCGUCUUUAUCACCCAAUUUUCUUAUACAAACUGCACAAAAUCUUAUAAGUGUAGUAGUGUUUGUGACAGAUCGUAAGACAUACAUGAUGACCAGCUUUUAAGUUGCUUGCAGCUGCUUGAUUAAGGAAACAUGUAUUGCAGUCUGUAUGUUUACUGCUACAAGCAUUAGGGGGCACUGGAGAAAAAUAUGGAGUCAUGCUAGUUUUGUAGAUAGCAAUUUGCAAAAGGCAAAUAGGACAAAUUAUUCAAAACAGGAUUUCAGUAUGCCAGAAUAUAAUGUCAAGUGAAAGAAUGGGGUUAAUGCCACUGUCAAGUUCCUGGAGUAGAAUAAAAUUCCAGUGCGUUUUUAUUGAAAAAAUUAUUGCUUACCACCAGCGCCACUGCCCACAUCUGUGCCUUCAUGUGUUUCUGUACAUGUCUUAUUAAUAUGUAAGAUAAUUUCAGACCAUUAGAUAAUAAAAUAAAAUUGAUCCUGACAGUUCUGGGGGGAUUUAACUGCAGAAAAGGGCACUAAAAUUAGUAGAGAGCAUUCCAAAAUAUUUUGAUGACAUUACAGAAUAUCUUAUUCAUUACUGCUUUAGCUUGGGUGCAUGAAAAAUUGAGAAAGGACAGUUUGGCUUCAAUUGCUAUUUUCUAUGCUAACAAGUCUGCUAAGAGAUUUCCAAAAGAGCAAUCUUCCUUUUAAGUCCCUACCCUUUGGCAUCCCUUUAAUCAGAUCAGUCUAAAAGCUUCUGCCAAAAACUGAAGUGUAUAAAUUUUGCAUGCAAAUGCCACAGAUCUAUCUCAGGAUCAACACAAACUACCAUGUCACCAGAGUUGGGAACAAUAACCCCAUAUCUUAUUGGGGACGUAGCUUCUUUGAGCUAUGUCAUAAUCAGAUAGGGGAUUUCUGUCUUGCAUUACUUGCUUCUAUUUCUCUCUGUCAAUCGUUCAGUGCUUCCUCUGGUUCUUGGUACUUGAUGCGUUUAUCAGCAUUUUUGCAGCACCUUUUUUUUUAGGAAGACCUCAGUUCGUCUUGCCAAGUUAUUGUCCUUGGUUUCCUUAAUUUAAGCCACUUGCAGUGUUAUGAACAUUAACCUUUUUUGUUGAAAUCAUUUCACUUGCUACAGGAUUGUCGGUUGUACGAUUUUGUUGCAAGCUUGUUCCUUUAACCUUGUUAGAAUAGAGCUCCCAAAAAGUCCUUCUUAUUCUUCUGUCCUUCUUAUUCUUCCAUCCUGCUUGGAUUCCCCUUACCACCUCUCUUUCCAUUCUAUGCUUUUCAAUGUAACGUUGUCUGAAGUAUAAAAAUAAGAAAACUAUAAGAAACAACUAUUUUUGGCAUGGUUCCUGACAUGCCAGUAGCUGACACCCUUACGCGGUGUUAUUGGGAAGAAAGAAGCAAAAACAUGCAAAAGCAAUGGGCUGUGCCAUGACAGAUGUUGGCAAAAUGGCAGGUGCCAUGAGCACCUGCUAUUCUCCUGCAGAACACCUGCAGAACUUCUCCCAUAUUAAGCUGUUGAAGAAAUUUGACAGUGGCAUUGCCUCCAUCCUAGUUAAUGGCACUUUUUGCCCGCUUGCUCUGGCUCAUGUCUUGGGAAACGUCGUAUAUUGUUUAUGGCCACAAGAGCAAGCUACCAUUUUAGCCUGAAGAAGAAAUAAACUUUAUUUAAAGAGCCGGCACUUUUCUUUUAGUGGCCUUAGGUGUCGGCUCGAAGUCCUUGGACUUGGGCGGCAUCUUCGGCUUGCCGGACGGCCCAGAGCUGGUCUUCCAGCUCCGAACUUUUCAGGGCCGCCUCCCAGCGGCGGCGACGCCGACGGAGAAGGUCCCCGGCGGCCCCAGCAGCCGGGGCAAUAGCGGGAAUGAGCGAGCUCGAGGCUUUCUUUAAUCUAGUAAGGCCUGCCGUAUUGGGCGCGUCGCAAACGGCGGCAGUUUCGGUACCGUUGUUGCCGGCGUUAAUUUUUUCUUUAGUGCCCCUUUAAGCUGUAGGUUCUGUCACAGUAAAGAACUGCAUUCAGCCACUGUAGUUAUGCUCCAAGAGCUUCCUUCAAAUAUCUUGGCAUGUAUAUGCGUCUGUGUGUUUUUACUACCUUAACCAUAAGACAAAAUGUGUUUGCUUGUGAGAAUUGUAUAUAACACUUAUUUAUUGGGGAGACUGUUUUUAUGUAUAAAAUGGUGGUGAAAUGCCAUAAUACAAUUACAGUUUUAGUUUCAUUUAUGCUGUCUUCCAGAUUGUUUUUGGUGCAGGAACUUUUUUCCUCUAUAAAGAAAGUUUUAAGGUUUGUUGAGAUUUUUAUGUGUGUUUGCUAUGAGAAGUCAUGUUCAAUUAUAUAUACCUAUAUAUAUACACACAUAUUGUUAUAAUUGUACAAGUGCUCUUGAACUGCUGGUUUUAUGGCAACUCUGUCAUCCAAUGAAUGCUGUUUGCUAAGCCUCAGCAAAGUGCCUUCGGAAUUGCUGCUGCUAAUAAACGGUUAUUUCGGGAUCACUGUA